AAAUCUGAAGCUCCGAAAGGAUAUACUUAGAAUCCAAAUGAAAGAUACAUGCCAAAUGAAUCUAACAAAAAAUGUAAUAGUUGAGUUGCUGCUUCCAGAACUCUAAAUAUCAAAGAGAAGUUCCAGAUGAUAUUUUUGGUCUAUUUACACAGA